rnacentral:tRNA from 1 species
GCGGGUGUAGCUCAGUGCUAGUGUGCAUGCUUAGCGUGCACGAGGUCCUGGGUUUGAUCCCCAGUACCUCCA